rnacentral:rRNA from 1 species
AACGAACGCUGGCGGCAUGCCUAACACAUGCAAGUCGAACGAGACCUUCGGGUCUAGUGGCGCACGGGUGCGUAACGCGUGGGAACCUGCCCUUAGGUUCGGAAUAACUCCCCGAAAGGGGUGCUAAUACCGGAUGAUGUCUUCGGACCAAAGAUUUAUCGCCUUUGGAUGGGCCCGCGUUGGAUUAGCUAGUUGGUAGGGUAAAAGCCUACCAAGGCGACGAUCCAUAGCUGGUCUGAGAGGAUGAUCAGCCACACUGGGACUGAGACACGGCCCAGACUCCUACGGGAAGCAGCAGUGGGGAAUAUUGGACAAUGGGCGAAAGCCUGAUCCAGCAAUGCCGCGUGAGUGAUGAAGGCCUUAGGGUUGUAAAGCUCUUUUACCCGGGAUGAUAAUGACAGUACCGGGAGAAUAAGCUCCGGCUAACUCCGUG